rnacentral:lncRNA from 1 species
UGAAAUUGAGACAUUAGACCUAGAGUCAGUUGGACCUAGGGUGGAAAGUGCAUUAGACCUAGAUAGGUCGAUAGCAUAGGGUUGGAUACGGACCCUUGACUUGUGAAGUGGAUUCCGGAAUCCCGAGACUUGUGAACUCAAUAGUUCUUGGACCGCGGGUGUAUGUGGCAUGUUCCUCUCCCACCGGAAGAACUUUGAGGAUUGUGACUAAGCAAGAACAAAGAGCGCUAGGGUGUAUGCGGCAUGUUCCUCUCCCUAUCGGGGGUCUUGGCUAUGGGUGUAUGCGGCUAUGUUCCUCUCCCUCUGGCGGAUCCCUGACCACGGUGCACGGACCUUCGGGCGGACCGUUGGGCGAUGUGGUUCUUGGCUUGCAGGCUGAGGUGCAUGCGACAGGAUCCUUCACCUCGAGCCGGGCAGAGCGCGGAUUAUCCGCUGUUGAUUGACUCGAGGCCGAGUCGGGUGGCUAGCUGGAAUAAGGUAGAUAGAACCUUGAGGGCUAGUGGUAAAUGUGAUAACCUAAGGUAGUGGAAACCUUAGAGUUGGAUGACAUGAGCUAAGAUUAGCGAGAUUGAUUGUAGAAUCAAUAAUUCUACUAGUUGUUGCAUAUAUUCAUGUUGCAUAUAUUCCUGUUGCAUAUAGCAUGGCAUCAUUGCAGUUGUGAGGCAAAGCAAGGUAAAGUUAGUUGCAUGUUUAUGAUAUACAUAUCUAUCUGUUUAUUGGACUAACUUGUAUUUGCCUCCCUUGGACCUGUUGGUCGAGCUCCUCCCUUGGGUGGCCGUACCCACUGGGAACCAUGGAGUUGGUUCUCACCCCACGUUGUUUUGGGGUUUUACAGGUUCGCACGUGAGCGGCGCGGCGGCGCGAGGUAAGGGCGUAGCUCCAUAGAUAGCGCCCUACCCCCAGAGACCAGAGCUAGCAGUACCCGGUCGACGUAGCUUAGGGGUAUAGAAAAUGAAAGGAACAAAAUGUAUUAAACUUGUAAUAUCUAUGAUGUAAUAACUUAGAUUGUAUUUGGAAGUCUAAUGUGAAAAUAAUGGUGGUUGGGAUGUAAAGCAUAUGAAUCUAAUGUGAAUGUUGUAAUAACAUAGGAUGUGUUAUGUUGUUGAUAUCUUUCCAUUUGCAAUCUUGAUUGAUAUCUGUUCCUGGUUAGAACCCUUGUAAUGUACAUUGUUUGGAUUGCGACGCCUAGAACGUACAGGGGAGACUCUGUCCACGUACAGGGAAAACCCCGGUUCGUUCGGCGGUCUGUCGUCGGCGCCGCGACCCGGUCCAAAUUGGCGGUUGGUCGCGGGGCGUGACAAUCUGAGUGUCCAUGUUCAGCUUUAAUUUCCUAUAUUGAACAAAAUCACGUGAAAAAGUCAUAUUUUAUAUGAUAUAAGUUUAUUCGUACUAAACUUAAUCAUGUAUAUCAUACCAUAAGGACCUCCGCAAUGGUCCCCGUCGCAGUAUCUGAUGCCUCUUCACUAGCUUCAGCCCCCCCGAUCUUCAAAGGAUGAUGCUGCUUUCUUCUAUAGUGCCGAGUCAAAGGA